GUGGAGGUGCCAUUUUUGGGGGGAACGUAAUCCGCUUCCACUGCUCAAGCUCCAUCUCCAAAACCUUUUUCUGUUGCUCCACACCAGCCAGGUCAGAGUUCAGCUUCUGGAGAGAAAGCCUCAACAGGAUUGUUAUAGCGUGGUGAGAACUGAAACACAAUAACGAGCCACAACACAUGGUUGCAUGAUCCGACCAACCAGUAACAGACAGUGAGAAGGACAUCAUCGCAGGUUUCCUCUGCUCUGCUCAAGACACACAUGCCGCCUCCCCUGGGAGUGUGGGGGAGAGGGUGAGGGAGGAGCAGGGAAUGAAAAGUGGGAAUAUGGCCCCAGUGGCAGCAGAGCACGAAUUAAGAGAGGCAUUGAUGACACUUCCUGUAAGACAAGCUCUGAUUUCGUGGGCCAUUUUCAGCACUGGUGAGAAAUGACACUGACGUAGACGGAUAUACUGGUACUCCCAUUAGGAAGGAGGAGAGGACUCCUUUCUCUGUGUCUCUCCUUUGUUUCAGUCUAAGAACUGUGGAAUGACUGAUGCUUUUUCAAGUUAACAGCAGCGGUUUUAAAUAAGCACAAUAUUUGCACAUUCACAUCUUUAUCCAAUAAAAACCCAAACUGAGCUGUGUCCUAAUCUUCUGUAUAAAGUAUUGUGUUUUUCUCAGUUACAGCUACAAAACUGUGACAGGACUCAUCCAACAUCCAUCCAUCUUAAUUAAGAGAAAGGCAGAUAAAUCCAGCUUAGAAACCCAACAAAUUUCAUCUGUACCAACCCUGAUUUUGUCUUUUAUUCAAUGCUAUUCACCUCAAACAACACUGGUAUUUUAUAUUGUUUAAAUUUGGUAGUUUAUUACAACAAAUUUAUACUGUGAUAUAUAUCACAGUAUCCACACACAGUGUGUUUGUGUGUGUAGAUUCACAUUUUUAAUUACGUGUUAUUUGAAUGAAGAUUAUUGUGUUUAUUUCAUAGUUUAGUAGUUUUAAUAAAUUAACCGGUAUAUAAAAUAAAUGCUUGAACUUUGUGCUUAAAACCAUUUAAAAACAAGAAACAGCUUUCCAGCAGUCUUUCCAAAAUAUCCAACUGUGUUUAAUCUGUACUUAAAUAUUAUAAAAUCAUUAAAAAAAACUACUAAAUAAAUAACGUUUUGAAAAGUCUGGAUUUUUAAAAAUAAAAAUGGAUAAGGAUAUUUUUUAUUAUUAACCAGCACUUUAUGUUCGCAUUUGACAUACUUCAGAGAGCAACACUAUUAUUUAAGUAGUCAUGAUUACAUGCAGUUUUUUAAAAAAGUUUGAACUGGAAGAACUACAUGGAAAGGAUGGAAUAAUGGAAGACAGAAGACAAAAGUGUAUGACUUCAUAAAGCAGUGAGCCAGGAAAAGAAGCAAAGAGGACAGGAUGGCUAAAGGAUCAGGAGACAGAGCAACACAAACAAGUCUCUGGGAACCUGCCGUGCUACCUAUCACAUGAUGGCCCCUGUGGAGGCUGUCCUAAGCCAAUUACAAGCAGAGUUUUAGUUAGAGAGUUGCCCAGGACCGACUGGAACAAGUCCAAAGUCUAUCACCUCUUGGCCUUUCCAGAGAGGGCAACUAGACCUGGCUUUGACCAGUUAGUCGACUCCAACUUUCUCUGGUGGAGUGGCAUUAAUACUGCAGGAGGAGAGACGAAACAAACAGGAAGAUAGCAAUUCCCUCUCUGUCCACUCAUUCACUCUGUGUGUGUGUGUGUGUGUGUGUGUGUGUGUUUGUGUGGGUGAAACUGAGCCGACACUGCUGUGUCUGAGUCUAAGGUCUCGUUGGGUUUCAGCAAUCAGAAGCUUGGUGGGUGCACCAGGGCCACUUCCUGGGUGGCAACGUUCUGGAAGAUGAACUCUGACUUGUUUAUACGAGUCCACAGAAAUGUGACUUAACAAAAAAAGAAACAUGGUAUACUCUCUAAUUAUAUGUCCAGUUGGUGUUAGCUGGUUACUGCUCUGGCAAGAUAUUAUCACUGAAAAAUAUCCUGCCUAUCAGAUUCAUGACUGUCUGGUGGUGUGAACAUAUGCUGAUGUUUAUAGGGAGGCCUCAACAGGUAGAGCAUGGUCCUGCUAUGUGUUUAAUUUAUACCCUAGAGUUUCCUAUCAGAAUGUAAACACUAAAAAACUCAACAGGAAGUGAAGUGGGACUCCAAAGAACCCGUUACCUUGUCUCUCUUAGUGGCAUGUUGGACGAAUUUAAAUUGCACAGUUUUUCAUGUACAUUAGGGUUAAAGAAAUUAACCGCAGUAGAAAACUAUGACACAGUGAUAGUAAGACAUCACAGCACUGAGAGUGUAUCAGUAAUGGUUUUAAGUUACUAACAACUUAACUGUGAUGCAUCCAAAACCUCUGUCUUGGUAAUACCGGAUCUCAGCGCUCCAAUCGAGACGGUUGAUCAUAAAAUGCUGAUCGAUAGACUGGAAAAGAAGUUGGGAUCGUCUGGUGCUAUGCUAGUUUGGUUCAGAUCUUACAGGUGCAACUGGGACUGCUUAGUAUCAUUUGAGAUCAUAUAUGGUUCCUCAAGGCUCCCUUCUAGGACAACCUUUACUGAACAUCUAUAGGGGUUGGACAAUGAAACUGAAACACCUGGUUUUAGACCACAAUAAUUUAUUAGUAUGGUGUAGGGCCUCCUUUUG